rnacentral:rRNA from 1 species
AACGAACGCUGGCGGCAGGCUUAACACAUGCAAGUCGAACGCCCGCAAGGGGAGUGGCGGACGGGUGAGUAACGCGUGGGAACGUGCCUCGAGGUUCGGAAUAACCGAGGGAAACUUCGGCUAAUACCGGAUGAGCCCGAAAGGGAAAGAUUCAUCGCCUUGAGAGCGGCCCGCGUUUGGAUUAGCUAGUUGGUGGGGUAACGGCCUACCAAGGCUUCGAUCCAUAGCUGGUCUGAGAGGACGACCAGCCACACUGGGACUGAGACACGGCCCAGACUCCUACGGGAGGCAGCAGUGGGGAAUCUUGGACAAU